GGUUGGUGCAAAAGUAAUUGUGGUUUUUGCCAUUAAUUUCAAUGGCAAAAACCAGGAUUACUUUUGCACCAACCUAAUAAA
rnacentral:miRNA from 1 species